CAGAGUCCCGUCUGUGGCUGUCGAGUGAGUCUGUCUGCCACCCGUACACUCCGGUGAGGCAUAUCCAACAAAGACACGCCACUGCAGUCCUGAGCCUGUGAUCCAUCCACACAGCUGCACCAGCAGUGAGAUCCAUGCAACGAGGCGCACCAGCAGUAAAACACAGCAGACAUCCAGUUUGCAAACUUAUGUUGGUUCUCUCCAGGGCCUGGAGGAACAACUACAGAGUAGCCCGACCUUCAGAAACAAUUGGUAAACACACUGGCUCUCAAAGGUGGAGUGGACAUUCGUGAGUGUGGAGGAUCAUGUAUGCGAUGAUCACAAACUCCCUGGCAAGAACUAUAAACAUGAGAGGGGUAAAUGGAAUAUUGGUUUCCAGCACUUGUAGUUAAGAAAUGUUGUAUUUGCUGCCGUAAGGCGUAACCGCCUAACAUCUGAGGCCACAGAGCAGGAAAUCGACUCAACGAUGAUGGUUACAUCUGGCUCCAGACAGAGAUGGUGGCAGAAUGGAGAGGAUGAAGCAAAAGCAGAGAAUGGUUGGCACAACAGGUUAAACUCCUGUAGAACCUUGGGACGUCCAUGGAACGGCCGCCCAAUCACAGACGAGAUUCACCAGUGCGUCACACUGCUCUGCAUUGGUCUCAAGCACGUGAUAACUGGAUGAAUACUUUCCGUGAAGCUGCCUCAGCGGCCUGUGGAAAAGCUCUUCGGCGUCGCAGGACUCGUCUACAGGCCAAAGAAGAGCGAGACUGAAUUCGCGCAACUUUGAAAAACGACUUCUUCUGAAAGGGAACAGACACUUCAGCUAAUAAAAUGGCUUGUGCCAUUUGAAGGACAUGUGUAGUUUGUCUAUAUAGCUAAUUUUGCUCUGGUUAUAUUGUAAAAAAUGACUUCAACCUCUACCAAAGUUAUUUUCUGGUCAGAUGCUUGUACUUUUACUCAAAUAUCCCUUUUAGAUACUUUAUGCAAGGCUGAACAAAUCACACAAAGCUUGUUGUUACUCGAUCAAUUCCUUAUGUGUGGGCUUGGACGUCGGGUCAUUGCUAAGCACAUGCGGUCCAUUAGCCAGAGAACAUGGCCGGACUCACACAGUGACACACGACCACCCGUCAAUCCAGCCGCCAAUAAACAUCUUUGAAUGAAUGAA